rnacentral:rRNA from 1 species
AUGAGCGCGAUAAGGGCAUUCGGUGGAUGCCC